UGCUAUCUGAUUUUUGAAAUGUCUCACCAAUAAUUUCUCCGCUGUCGUCUUUCACCACAGCCGUAUCAUAGGCUCCCAGUCCUCUUUAGGAUAAAAUCACAGGCAAGUCAGGCCUAUUACCCAAGAAGUUAGGAAGAAAGCGAUUGAACUGUUCCUCGGUGGGCCGCAGGACGCCAUUUGAAGGCUUCGCCAUACACUUUCGUCCACAGAGGAAAGAAGCUGUGAUGACAUAAGGCGCAACGACAGAAGUUUCCAGCAUUUGGACCAAAGCUAUAAAGUCGACAACAUCUGGAUCCCGGGUUCAACCAGUCGAUGAAAUCAUCUACCCACGAGUUGGCAGAGAUGCCAAUGUCCUUACCUAAAAAGAAGCAGACUGACUCAGAGAGACUGCACAGGAGCAUGCUGGGAGCAACGUUUCCAAGCACGCGGCCAAUCUGCUGCUCUCUUUCCUCUCCGGGCUUCCGCACAUCUCGCUGCCAAAUGUGAACACAAAAGUUGCAUCAGUCUCAUCGUGGUCAGAACCAUUAG